rnacentral:rRNA from 1 species
AUUGAACGCUGGCGGCAGGCCUAACACAUGCAAGUCGAGCGGUAACAGGAAGAAGCUUGCUUCUUUGCUGACGAGUGGCGGACGGGUGAGUAAUGUCUGGGAAACUGCCUGAUGGAGGGGGAUAACUACUGGAAACGGUAGCUAAUACCGCAUAACGUCGCAAGACCAAAGAGGGGGACCUUCGGGCCUCUUGCCAUCGGAUGUGCCCAGAUGGGAUUAGCUAGUAGGUGGGGUAACGGCUCACCUAGGCGACGAUCCCUAGCUGGUCUGAGAGGAUGACCAGCCACACUGGAACUGAGACACGGUCCAGACUCCUACGGGAGGCAGCAGUGGGGAAUAUUGCACAAUGGGCGCAAGCCUGAUGCAGCCAUGCCGCGUGUAUGAAGAAGGCCUUCGGGUUGUAAAGUACUUUCAGCGGGGAGGAAGGGAGUAAAGUUAAUACCUUUGCUCAUUGACGUUACCCGCAGAAGAAGCACCGGCUAACUCCGUG